rnacentral:rRNA from 1 species
AUGUCGUGGUCGUCCAGUGCCGGGUCCGCUCCCGGAUUUCGUCGAGCUGCAGGAAGGAGGGGGGAGGAGUCGCGCUCGCCGGUGCGCUACCGCGAGAACCCAAUGGCAUACGAGCCUCCGGUGAUGUGCCACUGUUCAACUCCGAGGAAGGCGCCAAGAUGGAUCUCCUGGAGCAGGCAGAACCCUGGUAGGAGGUACUACAGCUGCGUGGAUGCUAUGGUGAGUGCUGUUUUUUCCCUAAUUUUCUUCCUCUUUCUUCUGUGCAAUAAUUUUUGGCAGCAUGGUGAAUUUGCUUGUGUAUAUUAA